rnacentral:rRNA from 1 species
AACGGCUACCACAUCCAAGGAAGGCAGCAGGCGCGCAAAUUACCCAAUCCCGACACGGGGAGGUAGUGACAAUAAAUAACAAGCCAGGGCCCAUUUGGGUUUUGGCAUUGGAAUGAGUACAAUGUAAACACCUUAACGAGGAACAAUUGGAGGACAAGUCUGGUGCCAGCACCCGCGGUAAUUCCAGCUCCAAUAGCGUAUAUUAAAGUUGUUGCAGUUAAAAAGCUCGUAGUUGAAAUUGGGCGCGGCUGGCCGGUCCGCCUCACGGCGUGCACUGGUCUCGGCCGUGCCUUCCUCCUGGGCCGCCCGAGAGCGCUUCAUUGUGCGCUCGGGAUGGCCCAGGACUUUUACUUUGAAAAAAUUAGAGUGUUCAAAGCAGGCAUUUGCUCGGAUACAUUAGCAUGGAAUAAUAGAAUAGGACGUCGAUCCUAUUUUGUUGGUUUCUAGGACCGCCGUAAUGAUUAAUAGGGAUAGUUGGGGGCAUUAGUAUUCAAUUGUCAGAGGUGAAAUUCUUGGAUUUAUUGAAGACUAACUACUGCGAAAGCAUUUGCCAAGGAUGUUUUCAUUAAUCAAGAACGAAAGUUAGGGGAUCGAAGACGAUUAGAUACCGUCGUAGUCUUAACCAUAAACUAUGCCGACUAGGGAUCGGGCGCAGUUUCAAACGACUCGCUCGGCACCUUAAGAGAAAUCAAAGUUUUUGGGUUCUGGGGGGAGUAUGGUCGCAAGGCUGAAA